UACGUAGGUGGCAAGCGUUGUCCGGAUUUACUGGGCGUAAAGCGUGCGCAGGCGGUUCGACAAGUCCGAUGUGAAAGCCCCGGGCUCAACCUGGGAAUGGCAUUGGAAACUGGCGAGCUUGAGUGUGGCAGAGGGGGGUGGAAUUCCGCGUGUAGCAGUGAAAUGCGUAGAGAUGCGGAGGAACACCGAUGGCGAAGGCAGCCCCCUGGGCUGACACUGACGCUCAGGCACGAAAGCGUGGGGAGCAAACAGG
rnacentral:rRNA from 1 species